rnacentral:rRNA from 1 species
GUGGGGAAUAUUGCGCAAUGGGCGAAAGCCUGACGCAGCGACGCCGCGUGAGGGACGAAGGUCUUCGGAUUGUAAACCUCUUUCAGCAGGGACGAAGCGAAAGUGACUGUACCUGCAGAAGAAGCACCGGCUAACUACGUGCCAGCAGCCGCGGUAAUACGUAGGGUGCAAGCGUUGUCCGGAUUUAUUGGGCGUAAAGAGCUCGUAGGCGGUUUGUCGCGUCGGAUGUGAAAACCCAAUGGCUUAACCUUGGGCCUGCAUUCGAUACGGGCAAACUAGAGUGUGGUAGGGGAGACUGGAACUCCUGGUGUAGCGGUGGAAUGCGCAGAUAUCAGGAAGAACACCGAUGGCGAAGGCAGGUCUCUGGGCCAUAACUGACGCUGAGGAGCGAAAGCGUGGGGAGCGAACAGGAUUAGAAACCCCAGUAGUCC